rnacentral:ncRNA from 1 species
UAACGUUUUGGUCCUAAACCUAGUAUUAUCUUAGCCCUAUCUUACACAUGCUAGUCUCAGCACACCAGUGAGUACCACCCAGCAUCAGGCACAUCCAUCAGAUAGCCCAAGACGCUUAGCCACCAUGCCACGCCCCCACGGACCACAGCAGUGAUUAACCUUGGGCAAUGGGCGACCAACCUCUUAAGCCCGACCCAGACACAGGCACCAGGACUGGUAAACUCCGUGCCAGCCACCGCGGUUAUACGAAGAGCCCAAGAUAACAAACAACGGCGUAAAGAGUAGCACUGGACCCCUGCUGACGGAAGCGAGGCCGAAACCCAAAGUAUCGUGGUAAAAUACAAACAAAAAUAACUCCAACACGGCAUCACCCUGCCAGCAAACCAAUCAGCUACGACCGCUGGGACACAAACUAGGAUUAGAUACCCUACUAUGCCCAGACAUAAACCUAGAUAGCACACACACACUCUAUCCGCCAGAGAACUACCAGCGAAAAGCUAAAAACUCAAAGGACUUGACAGUGUCCCACAUCAACCUAGAGGAGCCUGUCCUAUAAUCGACAAUCCACGUUAUACCCAACCUGUCCUUGCCUAAUCAGCCUAUAUACCGCCGCCUUCUGCCUACCUAAUGAUAGCCCCAAUAGGCAAAACAGCAACCCGCUAAAACGUCAGGUCAAGGUGUAGCUAAUGGACAGGAAGAGAUGGGCUACAUUUUCUACCACCAGAAAACACCACCGCGUUCAUGAAACUCCCGCUUAAAGGCGGAUUUAGCAGUAAGCUCAGCAAGACAAGCCAAGCUGAAAUACGCUCUGGGACGUGUACACACCGCCCGUCACCCUCAUCACCCAUCACCCUUACACCUAAUAAAUAAUCCCACAACAAACCACUCCCCCAGAUGAGAUAAGUCGUAACAUGGUAAGCGUACUGGAAAGUGCGCUUGGAAUA